UACGGAGGGGGCUAGCGUUGUUCGGAAUUACUGGGCGUAAAGCGCACGUAGGCGGCUUUGUAAGUUAGAGGUGAAAGCCCGGAGCUCAACUUCGGAAUUGCCUUUAAGACUGCAUCGCUUGAAUCAUGGAGAGGUCAGUGGAAUUCCGAGUGUAGAGGUGAAAUUCGUAGAUAUUCGGAAGAACACCAGUGGCGAAGGCGGCCCCCUGGCACAACACUGACGCUCAGGUGCGAAAGCGUGGGGAGCAAACAGG
rnacentral:rRNA from 1 species